rnacentral:lncRNA from 1 species
AUCCAGUACAAUUCACAGGGAGAAUUAAUUAGUGCAUAUCAAAUGUGAGCUUGACAGGGCUAUGAUUUAAAUACAAAGAUGCCUGAAGAAUUAUGAGUCAAUAUUUGAGCUCCAUGCUAGUCUGAUGCUAUUGUAUCCACCUGAACAAAUACGGCCUAGCAUCCUACCUUCUUUGCAGCUGUUUGAGUCUCUCCCUACAGGGUGGUAGGUCUGAAGGGGCCUUUUCAGUGGGGGAAGAGGGUAGGGAAGGAUUCUACACAGGGCUCAGCAAGCUGGAAGACAGCUGGAGGGAACAAGCUUCUCUCCUUCACGCUUCUCUCUGCUGCCAGGAAACAGCAGUUCCACGAGUAGAACAGAAGCACCCAGUCAGCUGGAUGUCCAUAUGGAGACUUUUACCCAGGAUCUGACACAUUAACUGUGGGACAUCUGGGGGCUGGUCUCUGCAAACUAUAUUUUUAAGAAUUCCUUACCAACUGGCUUUCAGCUGGACUCAGCCAACAAGAGGAAGACGCUGGAAAUUGGAGGCAGGAAGAAGUGGCUCCCUCCUCCCAGGACUCCAGCUUUCAUCUGAUGCCUUCUACCUCUGUGAUCCAACCUCCUUCCAAGCAGCCUCCAUCCUGGGUUCCAGUUCCAGCUGGAAGGUCCCUGAUCCUGGGCUCUGGGAGCACCAUCUCCUCCUCCCUUCCUCAGCCCAGCCAUAGAGCUGCUUCCUGCUGUUGCUAAUCUUUGGGGAAUCUCUGGGGUGCCUCAGUUGACCCCACUUGGUUUUUCAGUACUUCCAACAUGUUUAUCACCAGUUCAAGGGAUUGAAUUCCACCUACUGAUGGUCCUUCCCAGACCCUGACUGAUACAAGUUUAAUAUGGAGAUGAACAGAACAGGAUUAAAGUGAGAGGUGAAGCUUUAUUGAUCCAAGUGGAAGUAAAAACCUGGCUGUGAGAGAAGAGAUGGUAUCACCCUCUGAGGCUCCCAUGGUUGCAGCAGACUUCAGAUAUGGACUCUGCCACUCGGCCACCCCACCCUGCUCCACCCCUCCCUCUGGAGGUGGCAGGCCUAUUUGGCUAAGGAAAUCUACUCCUUCACGUGUCUCCAGGGGACAAUGUAUUCAGCUUCGUAAUUACGUGCUUCUCCCCAAUCACGUAGCAUUAUACACCACAUCACCACACUGCUGAAAAAAGCCCCAAAUGCUAAUUAGUCCUCAAAUUAUCAUUGAUUUGAUUUGAUGUUGAACAAGCUUUGCCAUUUAUAUUUAGGCAAGAACUUCAGAUUCAAGAUGCUCUCUUUCAGAUUGCGAUUUUUAAAUAACUCAGUGGGGCCUGUCUUGCUUGUUCAGUGUGUUUAUGUCAAGAAAUCAGACUGGCUGCUCUCCCUGGCUGCAGAUGAAUGCCAGGUUGAUUGAGUGCAGGAGAGGAAUUAUCCUCUCGGCCAGAGCUCAAAGCCUGGGACCCCCUGAAUGCAGAAACCCCCAUCGUGCAGGAGGACUUGAGGAGGAGAAAGAUGAAGGAAGGAGUGGAAGAAGACGGUCUGGAAUUGCAAACAGAUUCCACCUGAAGAUGGAGAAACUGUGUUAUUGAGUCACAUUCAGCAAAUGCUUCUUAGUCCUUUCUGAGAGCCAGGCUCUUUCACAGGCAUCAUCUCCUUUAAUUCUGACAGCAACCCAGUGAUAACACAGCAUUGUUAGUUGUGGAAACCAAGGCCCAGAAACUUGAGGUAAUGUCACUGUUCACAGCAGUGAGGGAGAGAAGCUGAAGUUUAUAUACAGGUCCUCUGACCAGGUCCCCUGAAAGGUGAUUUCAUGCCUUCUCCUUGGUCACUUAUUGUCUUCUGGGUCCGCACUUCCCUGCAGCCCACCUUCCAAACCCCUCAGCCCCUAUCCCCA